rnacentral:rRNA from 1 species
AUUGAACGCUGGCGGCAUGCCUUACACAUGCAAGUCGAACGGCAGCACGGGAGCUUGCUCCUGGUGACGAGUGGCGAACGGGUGAGUAAUGCAUCGGAACGUACCCAGUCGUGGGGGAUAACGUAGCGAAAGUUACGCUAAUACCGCAUACGUCCUGAGGGAGAAAGCGGGGGGACCGUAAGGCCUCGCGCGAUUGGAGCGGCCGAUGUCGGAUUAGCUAGUUGGUAGGGUAAAGGCCUACCAAGGCGACGAUCCGUAGCGGGUCUGAGAGGAUGAUCCGCCACACUGGGACUGAGACACGGCCCAGACUCCUACGGGAGGCAGCAGUGGGGAAUUUUGGACAAUGGGCGAAAGCCUGAUCCAGUUAUGCGCGUGAGUGAAGAAGGCCUU